CCUACGGGAGGCAGCAGUGAGGAAUAUUGGUCAAUGGACGCAAGUCUGAACCAGCCAUGCCGCGUGCAGGAAGACGGCUCUAUGAGUUGUAAACUGCUUUUGUACGAGGGUAAACGCAGAUACGCGUAUCUGUCUGAAAGUAUCGUAAGAAUAAGGAUCGGCUAACUACGUGCCAGCAGCCGCGGUAAUACGGAGGAUUCAAGCGUUAUCCGGAUUUAUUGGGUGUAAAGGGUGCGUAGGCGGUCGGAUAUGUUAGAGGGGAAAUCCCGAGGCUCAACUGCGGAAUUGCCUGUGAUACUGUUCGGCUAGAGAGUAGAUGCGGUAGGCGGAAUGUAUGGUGUAGCGGUGAAAUGCUUAGAGAUCAUACAGAACACCGAUUGCGAAGGCAGCUUACCAAGCUGCUUCUGACGUUGAGGCACGAAAGCGUGGGGAGCAAACAGGAUUAGAUACCCCUGUAGUC
rnacentral:rRNA from 1 species